ACAGAGGUGGCGAGCGUUACUCGGAUUUAUUGGGUGUAAAGGGCAGGUAGGUGUCCUUGCAAGUCAGGAGUGAAAUCCUAUGGCUCAACCAUAGAACUGCUUUUGAAACUGUAAGGAUUGAGGAUAGAAGAGGAGAGCGGAAUUCCCGGUGUAAGGGUGAAAUCUGUAGAUAUCGGGAGGAACACCAGUGGCGAAAGCGGCUCUCUGGUCUAUCCCUGACGCUGAUCUGCGAAAGCUAGGGGAGCAAACAG
rnacentral:rRNA from 1 species